rnacentral:rRNA from 1 species
GAUGAACGCUGGCGGCGUGCCUAAUACAUGCAAGUCGAGCGAACAGACGAGGAGCUUGCUCCUCUGACGUUAGCGGCGGACGGGUGAGUAACACGUGGAUAACCUACCUAUAAGACUGGGAUAACUUCGGGAAACCGGAGCUAAUACCGGAUAAUAUAUUGAACCGCAUGGUUCAAUAGUGAAAGACGGUUUUGCUGUCACUUAUAGAUGGAUCCGCGCCGCAUUAGCUAGUUGGUAAGGUAACGGCUUACCAAGGCAACGAUGCGUAGCCGACCUGAGAGGGUGAUCGGCCACACUGGGACUGAGACACGGUCCAGACUCCUACGGGAGGAAGCAGUAGGGAAUCUUCCGCAAUGGGCGAAAGCCUGACGGAGCAACGCCGCGUGAGUGAUGAAGGUCUUCGGAUCGUAAAAAUCUGUUAUUAGGGAAGAACAAAUGUGUAAGUAACUAUGCACGUCUUGACGGUACCUAAUCAGAAAGCCACGGCUAACUACGUG